rnacentral:lncRNA from 1 species
UGUAAUCUAUAAAUAGGAGAGGGCCUCAUUUGGCCAAAUCAAUUCCAAGCAAUAUACAAUUUCCAGCACACAUAGCCUUGUAAUCAUUCUAUCGAGUAAUACAAAUCCUUUCCUCCCAUCCUUAGUGAGUUAGAGUGAAUACUCAUUCCGGUUUUCGAAUUCAACAACAGAUUUGGGUGUAAGGCUGACUUAGGGGCAAGAGAGUGCGAAUUUGGCUCCUAAGGCCGCACGGCAUAGCGUGGGAACAAACCGGGCCGUGACACUUUGCAGUUUAACUUCGUCGCAAGUCUUCCUUCUUCACUGAGACUAUUGCUGGAAAAAUAGCAUAAUGAGUUACUAUUUAAAAAUAUAAUUUUGAGUGGAUCCACUUAGUGUAAGUGGAAGGUUAAGGAUGAUUCGAAAUCUUCUUUGUGAGUAUUUCAAUAUGAUAAUUUGUAUGCCUAAAAUAAUGCUAGGAUGAAUGAGAAAUUGAUGUUCAAUGUACAUCCAUUGACUACAAUAAAUAAAAGCAGGAGUUACAGAGAUUGUAAUGGCUGGUUAAAUGCAGAAUUAAUCAUGCAAUCAAUUCCAAAAAAGCAGUGGUUAUGCUUUUAAUUA